UGCAAGUCGAACGAGAUUUCGGGUAGCAAUAUCUGAAUGAAAGUGGCGCACGGGUGCGUAACGCGUAUGCAAUCUACCGCUGACUGGGGAAUAGCCCUCCGAAAGGAGGAUUAAUACCGCAUAACACUGCGAAGUGGCAUCAUUUUGCAGUCAAAACUCUGGUGGUCAGCGAUGAGCAUGCGUCCGAUUAGCUAGUUGGUGAGGUAACGGCUCACCAAGGCUACGAUCGGUAGGGGGUCUGAGAGGAUGAUCCCCCACACUGGUACUGAGACACGGACCAGACUCCUACGGGAGGCAGCAGUAAGGAAUAUUGGACAAUGGGCGCAAGCCUGAUCCAGCCAUGCCGCGUGAAGGAUGAAUGCCCUAUGGGUUGUAAACUUCUUUUAGCAGGGAAAAAACCCCUCGAUGCGUCGAGGGCUGAUGGUACCUGCGGAAUAAGGAUCGGCUAACUCCGUGCCAGCAGCCGCGGUAAUACGGAGGAUCCAAGCGUUAUCCGGAUUUAUUGGGUUUAAAGGGUGCGUAGGCGGAUAAAUAAGUCAGUGGUGAAAGCCUGCAGCUCAACUGCAGAACUGCCAUUGAUACUGUUUAUCUUGAAUAUGGUUGAGGUGGGCGGAAUAUGACAUGUAUUGGUGAAAUACUUAGAUAUGUCAUAAAAACACCGAUUGCUAAGGCAGCUCACUAACCAUCAUUGACGCUGAGG
rnacentral:rRNA from 1 species